CGGGUGAGUAACACGUAUCCAACCUGCCGUCUACUCUUGGACAGCCUUCUGAAAGGAAGAUUAAUACAAGAUGGCAUCAUGAGUCCACAUGUUCACAUGAUUAAAGGUAUUCCGGUAGACGAUGGGGAUGCGUUCCAUUAGAUAGUAGGCGGGGUAACGGCCCACCUAGUCUUCGAUGGAUAGGGGUUCUGAGAGGAGGGUCCCCCACAUUGGAACUGAGACACGGUCCAA
rnacentral:rRNA from 1 species